rnacentral:rRNA from 1 species
AUACGGAGGAUCCGAGCGUUAUCCGGAUUUAUUGGGUUUAAAGGGUGCGCAGGCGGCCAUUUAAGUCAGCGGUUAAAUCGUGGGGCUCAACCCCAUUCUGCCGUUGAUACUGGGUGGCUUGAUUGCGGUCGAGGUUGGCGGAAUUCGUCGUGUAGCGGUGAAAUGCAUAGAUAUGACGAAGAACACCGAUUGCGUAGGCAGCUGACCAGACCGCAAAUGACGCUCAUGCACGAAAGUGCGGGGAUCGAACAGGAUUAGAUACCCUGGUAGUCCGCACAGUAAACGAUGAAUACUUGUUUUCGGCGAUAUAAUGUCGGAGGCAAAGCGAAAGCGAUAAGUAUUCCACCUGGGGAGUACGCCGGCAACGGUGAAACUUAAAGGAAUUGACGGGG